rnacentral:ncRNA from 1 species
UACUGAGGAAGUAAGUAGGCUAGAAGGUGCAAGGCAUGUGAUUGUUAAGAAAUAAUUUUAAGAGUUUUGUCGAUAAUUUUCGAACUGUUUCAACUAAAUAUUUUUCAUCAUUCGAAUCUCGUCCUGUUCAGAAUAAACUCGCCCAUCCUGAAUAAAAAUUGACAAUAAUAAUUAACACUCGACCAGAACCAUCAAUAGAUGGUUUUUCGACCAAAAGACAGCCCCGUCGAGAGAUUAAUUCACCGAGUAGAUUUUUAUUUAAAUUCUGAUCUUCAAACUGAUCUUAAAGAAUUUUCUUGACCAAAAUUCUAUCUGCUCGUGAGGGUUAUUACAGUCGGGGGCAUUCAUAUUUCAUAGUCAGAGGUGAAAUUCUUGGAUUUAUGAAAGACGAACAACUGCAAAAGCAUUUGCCAAGGAUGUUUUCAUUAAUCAAGAACAAAAGUUGGGGGCUCGAAGACGAUCAGAUACCGUCCUAGUCUCAACCAUAAACUAUGCCGACCAGGGAUCAGUGGAUGUUGCUUUUAGGACUCCACUGGCACCUUAUGAGAAAUCAAAGUUUUUGGGUUCCGGGGGGAGUAUGGUCGCAAGGCUGAAACUUAAAGGAAUUGACGGAAGGGCACCACCAGGAGUGGAGCCUGCGGCUUAAUUUGACUCAACACGGGGAAACUUACCAGGUCCAGACAUAGUAAGGAUUGACAGACUGAGAGCUCUUUCUUGAUUUUAUGGGUGGUGGUGCAUGGCCAUUCUUAGUUGGUGGAGCGAUUUGUCUGGUUAAUUCUGUUAACGAACGAGACCUCAACCUGCUAACUAGCUACGUGGAGGCAUCCCUUCACGGCCGGCUUCUUAGAGGGACUAUGGCCGUUUAGGCCAAGGAAGUUUGAGGCAAUAACAGGUAUGUGGGUCCCUUAGAUGUUCAACGAGUUCACACCUUGGCCGACAGGCCCGGGUAAUCUUGACGUCUGUGGCUGUCCGUGUGUGUCCGUGUGUGUCUGUGGGUGUCCGCCAGCACACACAGGACGUCUGUGGCUGUCCCUGGCUGUUCGUCAGCACACACAGGACGUUCGUGUGUGUCCGUCAGCACACACAGGACAUCCGUGUGUGUCCGUGUGUGUCCGUCAGUACACACAGGACGUCUGUGGCUGUCUGUGUGUGUACGUGUGUGUCCGUCAGCACACACAAGACGUCCGUGGCUGUCCAUCAGUACACAUAUCAGCACGCUGGUCCUUGGACUCAGCAUGCU